UAACCUGCCCAAGAGAUCGGGAUAACACCUGGAAACAGAUGCUAAUACCGGAUAACAACAGAUGAUGCCUAUCAACUGUUUAAAAGAUGGUUCUGCUAUCACUCUUGGAUGGACCUGCGGUGCAUUAGCUAGUUGGUAGGGUAACGGCCUACCAAGGCGAUGAUGCAUAGCCGAGUUGAGAGACUGAUCGGCCACAUUGGGACUGAGACACGGCCCAAACUCUACGGGAGGCAGCAGGC
rnacentral:rRNA from 1 species